UACGGGGGGAGCAAGCGUUGUUCGGAUUUACUGGGCGUAAAGGGCGCGUAGGCGGUCACUACAAGUCAGUUGUGAAAUCUCUGGGCUUAACUCAGAACGGUCAACUGAUACUGUCGGACUAGAGUGCAGAAGGGGCAACUGGAAUUCUCGGUGUAGCGGUGAAAUGCGUAGAUAUCGAGAGGAACACCUGCGGCGAAGGCGGGUUGCUGGGCUGACACUGACGCUGAGGCGCGAAAGCUAGGGGGAGCGAACGGG
rnacentral:rRNA from 1 species